rnacentral:rRNA from 1 species
GAAUAUUGGACAAUGGGCGCAAGCCUGAUCCAGCCAUGCCGCGUGAGUGAUGAAGGCCCUAGGGUUGUAAAGCUCUUUCACCGGUGAAGAUAAUGACGGUAACCGGCGAAGAAGUCCCGGCUAACUUCGUGCCAGCAGCCGCGGUAAUAAGAAGGGGGCUAGCGUUGUUCGGAAUUACUGGGCGUAAAGCGCACGUAGGCGGAUUGUUAAGUGAGGGGUGAAAUCCCAGGGCUCAACCCUGGAACUGCCUUUCAUACUGGCAAUCUUGAGUAUGGAAGAGGUGAGUGGAAUUCCGAGUGUAGAGGUGAAAUUCGUAGAUAUUCGGAGGAACACCAGUGGCGAAGGCGGCUCACUGGUCCAUUACUGACGCUGAGGUGCGAAAGCGUGGGGAGCAAACAGG